rnacentral:rRNA from 1 species
GAUGAACGCUGGCGGCGUGCCUAAUACAUGCCAGUCGAGCGAACGGACGAGAAGCUUGCUUCUCUGAUGUUAGCGGCGGACGGGUGAGUAACACGUGGAUAACCUACCUAUAAGACUGGGAUAACUUCGGGAAACCGGAGCUAAUACCGGAUAAUAUUUUGAACCGCAUGGUUCAAAAGUGAAAGGCGGUCUUGCUGUCACUUAUAGAUGGAUCCGCGCUGCAUUAGCUAGUUGGUAAGGUAACGGCUUACCAAGGCAACGAUGCAUAGCCGACCUGAGAGGGUGAUCGGCCACACUGGAACUGAGACACGGUCCAGACUCCUACGGGAGGCAGCAGUAGGGAAUCUUCCGCAAUGGGCGAAAGCCUGACGGAGCAACGCCGCGUGAGUGAUGAAGGUCUUCGGAUCGUAAAACGCUGUUAUUAGGGAAGAACAUAUGUGUAAGUAACUGUGCACAUCUGGACGGUACCUAAUCAGAAAGCCACGGCUAACUACGU